UCAUCGUGCCAGCAGCCGCGGUAAUACGGAGGGUGCAAGCGUUUAAUCGGAAUUACUGGGCGUAAAGCGCACGCAGGCGGUUUGUUAAGUCAGAUGUGAAAUCCCCGCGCUCAACGUAGGAACGGCAUUUUGAGACUGGCAAGCUAGAGUCUUGUAGAGGGGGUAGAAUUCCAGGUGUAGCGGUGAAAUGCGUAGAGAUCUGGAGGAAUACCGGUGGCGAAGGCGGCCCCUGGACAAAGACUGACGCUCAGGUGCGAAAGCGUGGGGAGCAAACAGGAUUAGAUACCCUGGUAGUCCACGCUGUAAACGAUGUCGAUUUGGAGGUUGCGCCCUUGAGGGGUGGCUUCCGUAGCUAACGCGUUAAAUCGACCGCCUGGGGAGUACGGCCGCAAGGUUA
rnacentral:rRNA from 1 species